AGAGUUUGAUCCUGGCUCAGAGCGAACGCUGGCGGCAGGCUUAACACAUGCAAGUCGAACGGGCGUAGCAAUACGUCAGUGGCAGACGGGUGGGUAACACGUGGGAACGUACCUUUUGGUUCGGAACAACUGAGGGAAACUUCAGCUAAUACCGGAUAAGCCCUUACGGGGAAAGAUUUAUCGCCGAAAGAUCGGCCCGCGUCUGAUUAGCUAGUUGGUGGGGUAAGAGCCCACCAAGGCGACGAUCAGUAGCUGGUCUGAGAGGAUGAUCAGCCACAUUGGGACUGAGACACGGCCCAAACUCCUACGGGAGGCAGCAGUGGGGAAUAUUGGACAAUGGGCGAAAGCCUGAUCCAGCCAUGCCGCGUGAGUGAUGAAGGCCCUAGGGUUGUAAAGCUCUUUUAACGGGGAAGAUAAUGACGGUACCCGUAGAAUAAGCCCCGGCUAACUUCGUG
rnacentral:rRNA from 1 species